AGCGAGCGUGUGAUGGCCAUAGGUCUCCGGCUCGCGGGUGCCGAGCAGAUUGAGGUUCGGCCCGUUGAGCACGUAAAUCGUCUUUGCCAUCCGAAAACCAAAUCCAGCAAUGUCGGCGAAAUAAUGCGNNNNNNNCGCGCAGCUUCGGGCGGUUUAUAGGCAACAUGGAGCCGGGAGGGAAGCCUGAUCGGCUUCGCCAUCCCCCGCCAAAUCAUUCAGAAAUCACCUGAAAAGCCCU
rnacentral:misc_RNA from 1 species